rnacentral:miRNA from 1 species
AGUGGGAGGACAGGAGGCAGGU